GCGGCCUAUCAGCUUGUUGGUGAGGUAAUGGCUCACCAAGGCGACGACGGGUAGCCGGCCUGAGAGGGCGACCGGCCACACUGGGACUGAGACACGGCCCAGACUCCUACGGGAGGCAGCAGUGGGGAAUAUUGGGCAAUGGAGGGAACUCUGACCCAGCGACGCCGCGUGCGGGAUGAAGGCCUUCGGGUUGUAAACCGCUUUCAGCAAGGAAGAAGCGAAAGUGACGGUACUUGCAGAAGAAGCACCGGCUAACUAUGUGCCAGCAGCCGCGGUAAUACAUAGGGUGCAAGCGUUGUCCGGAGUUAUUGGGCGUAAAGAGCUCGUAGGUGGUUCGUCACGUCGGAUGUGAAAAUCUGGGGCUUAACCCCAGACCUGCAUUCGAUACGGGCGAGCUAGAGUGUGGUAGGGGAGACUGGAAUUCCU
rnacentral:rRNA from 1 species